AGGUGUGAGGUGGUGUUAUAGGGUACAGGUGUGAGGUGGUGUUAUAGGGUACAGGUGUGAGGUGGUGUUAUAGGGUACAGGUGUGAGGUGGUGUUAUAGGGUACAAGUGUGAGGUGGUGUUAUAGGGUACAUUACAGGUGUGAGAUGGUGUUAUAGGGUACAGUACAGGUGUGAGAUGGUGUUAUAGGGUACAGUAGUGAGGUGGUGUUAUAGGGUACAGUACAGGUGUGAGGUGGUGUUAUAGGGUACAGCACAGUAAUGACGUUGUGUUAUAGGGUACAGUACAGGUGUGAGAUGGUGUUAUAGGGUACAGUACAGGUGUGAGAUGGUGUUAUGGGCUUCAGUACAGUAGUGAGGUGGUGUUAUAGGCUACAGUACAGGUGUGAGGUGGUGUUAUAUGGUACAGGUGUGAGAUGGUGUUAUAGGGUACAGUAGUGAGGUGGUGUUAUAGGGUACAGGUGUGAGGUGGUGUUAUGGGAUACAGUACAGGUGUGAAAUGGUGUUAUAGGGUACAGUUCAGGUGUGAGGUUGUGUUAUAUGAUACAGUACAGGUGUGAGGUGGUGUUAUAGGGUACAGGUGUGAGGUGGUGUUAUAGGGUACAGGUGUGAGGUGGAGUUAUAGGAUACAGUACAGGUGUGAAAUUGUGUUAUAGGGUACAGUUCAGGUGUGAGGUGGUGGUAUAUGGUACAGGGGUGAGGUGGUGUUAUAGGGUGCAGUACAGGUGUGAGAUGGUGUUAUAGGGUACGAUACAGGUGUGAGAUGGUGUUAUGGGGUACAGUACAGUAGUGAGGUGGUGUUAUAGGGUAAAGUACAGGUGUGAGUUGGUGUUAUAGGAUACAGUACAGGUCUGAGGUGGUGAUAUAGGGUACAGUACAGGUGUGAGGUGGUGUUAUAUGGUGCAGUACAGGUGUGAGAUGGUGUUAUAGGGUACGAUACAGGUGUGAGAUGGUGUUAUGGGGUACAGUACAGUAGUGAGGUGGUGUUAUAGGGUAAAGUACAGGUGUGAGUUGGUGUUAUAGGAUACAGUACAGGUCUGAGGUGGUGUUAUAGGGUACAGUACAGGUGUGAGGUGGUGUUAUAUGGUACAGGGGUGAGGUGGUGUUAUAGGAUACAGUACAGGUGUGAGAUGGUGUUAUAGGGUACAGUAGUGAGGUGGUGUUAUAGGGUACAGUUCAGGUGUGAGGUUGUGUUAUUGGGUACAGGUGUGAGGUGGUGUUAUAGGGUACAGUUCAGGUGUGAGGUGGUGUUAUAGGGUACAGGUGUGAGGUGGUGUUAUAGGGUACAGUUCAGGUGUGAGGUGGUGUUAUAGGGUACAGUUCAGGUGUGAGGUGGUGUUAUAGGGUACAGGUGUGAGGUGGUGUUAUAGGGUACAGUUCAGGUGUGAGGUGGUGUUAUAGGGUACAGUUCAGGUGUGAGGUUGUGUUAUUGGGUACAGGUGUGAGGUGGUGUUAUAGGGUACAGUACAGGUGUGAGGUGAUGUUAUAUGGUUACAGGGGUGAGGUGGUGUUAUAGGGUGCAGUACAGGUGUGAAAUGGUGUUAUAGGGUACGAUACAGGUGUGAGAUGGUGUUAUGGGGUACAGUAGUGAGGUGGUGUUAUAGGGUAAAGUACAGGUGUGAGGUGAUGUUAUAUGGUUACAGGUGUGAGGUGGUGUUAUAGGGUGCAGUACAGGUGUGAAAUGGUGUUAUAGGGUACGAUACAGGUGUGAGAUGGUGUUAUGGGGUACAGUAGUGAGGUGGUGUUAUAGGGUAAAGUACAGGUGUGAGUUGGUGUUAUAGGAUACAGUAGUGAGGUGGUGUUAUAGGGUACAGGUGUGAGGUGGUGUUAUAGGAUACAGUACAGGUGUGAGAUGGUGUUAUAGGGCACAGUAGUGAGGUGGUGUUAUAGGGUACAGUUGUGAAGUGGUGUUAUAGGGUACAGUACAGGUGUGAUGUGGUGUUAUAGGGUACAGUACAGGUGUGAGAUGGUGUUAUAGGGUACAGUAGUGAGGUGGUGUUAUA